CUCUCUUCGCUUACAUUCCAGUUCCGAUACCAGUAUACUAUACUUGUUGUCGGUUAAAAAGCUCGUAUCUGAGAUUUCUGCUGCUGCACGGAACGGACGGUCGCAACUUGCGUACUCGAGUUAAGGUUUUCCCCUCAUCCUGUCGCGAACCGAGCUACCAUUACCUUGGCGUGGCUGGGGAUCGGAUCGAUUACUUUAAUAAAAAUAAAGUGUACAGAGCAGGCCACACCCCUUGAAUAAAUUAGCAUGGAAUGAUGACUAAAGACUUCAGUUCUAUUUUGUUGUGGUUCGGUACUGAAGUAAUGAUUGAUAUGAACAGUUGAGGCGGUCUGUAUUCCAUACCGAGAGGAGAAAUUCUUAUACCUUCGGAAGACAAACAGCUGCGAAAGCGUUCCGCAAGGAUGUUCCCUUUGAUCAAGAACGAAAGUUGGGGGAUCGAAGACGAUCAGAUACCGUCGUAGUCUCAACUAUAAACUAUACCAGCUAGGGAUCGGUCAACGUUUAAUCAUUCGACUUGAUCGGCACCUUAUGAGAAAUCAAAGCAUCUGGGUUCCGGGGGGAGUAUGGUCGCAAGGCUGAAACUUAAAGGAAUUGACGGAAGGGCACCACCAGCCGUGGAGCCUGUGGCUUAAUUUGACUCAACACGGGAAAACUUACCAGGUCCAGACAUAGUAAGGAUUGACAGAUUGAUAGCUCUUUCUUGAUUCUGUGGGUGGUGGUGCAUGGCCGUUCUUAGUUGGUGGAGUGAUUUGUCUGGUUAAUUCCGUUAACGAACGAGACCCCAGCCUGCUAAAUAGCGCGGCUGAGCUUUGCUCGGUGCGAGCUUCUUAGAGGGACUAUGAUGCGCGAUAGCACAUGGAAGUUUGGGGCAAUAACAGGUCUGUGAUGCCCUUAGAUGUUCUGGGCCGCACACGGGCUACACUGGCGCCUGCAACGAGCAUAUCAGCUGGCCCGAGAGGGUCUUGGCUAAUCUUUUGAACCGGCGCCGUGCUUGGGAUUGACCAUUGCAAUUGUUGGUCAUGCAACGAGGAAUGCCUUGUAAGCGCGAGUCAUCAGCUCGCAUUGAAUACGUCCCUGCUCCUUGUACACACCGCCC
rnacentral:rRNA from 1 species